ensembl:lncRNA
AGAAUUUGAUUCUUUUAAUUAUAAGAUCUUUCUGUUACUCCUUGAUGACUACAAGAAGGAACUUAGCCUUUGUCUACGUUUAGAAACUGAUUUGCUGCGUCGUAUUUAUUGGAAACCAGUCAUGCAAACAGUUCGUAUUGACAGUGUUUCAGAAUGAAUUAUACAUUAUAAACACCAUUUCAGAUCUGGGAUCUUUACUUUGGAGCAGACACCACUGCAUAUGAUUCUCUUAAAUGAAAGGUGUUAAUGGGACACACAUCUUCGAGGCGAUGUGAAGCAGUGAUUCCUUGCUGCCCAAAGGAGGAGCUGUGGGUGAGGAUGUUGGGGGCCCGGCCGGCAGAGCCCAUCUGCAGAGCCCCUCCUCGGUGGGUGCACGCAGCUCUUCCCCUCCUGUGACCCAUCCAGCAGCUCUGCACCGAGCGUCAUUUUUCACACCUUACACUGGAGAAAGGCAGAUCCAGAAGAUAAUCACAGCGGUGCAAAAUCUGCUGCUGGAUGUUCUGAAGCCUGAGAACAACUUCUUUAUGAAAACGAAGUCACUCCACUUUAAGGUGCACCACUCAGCUGUCAAUUUUGGUCGUCAGAAGUGGCUCAAAUGUUAACUGGUGCCUGAAAGUCAAGUGUGCCACAGCUGCAGGAUGAGGCGGUGCGGUACCAACUGCUGCAGAAAUGCAAUGCUUGUGCCAGCUUAUGUGUGCUUUUG